rnacentral:rRNA from 1 species
AGAGCGAACGCUGGCGGCAGGCCUAACACAUGCAAGUCGAGCGCCCCGCAAGGGGAGCGGCAGACGGGAGAGUAACACGUGGGAACGUACCCUUUGGUUCGGAACAACACAGGGAAACUUGUGCUAAUACCGGAUAAGCCCUUACGGGGAAAGAUUUAUUGCCAAAGGAUCGGCCCGCGUCUGAUUAGCUUGUUGGUGAGGUAACGGCUCACCAAGGCUACGAUCAGUAGCUGGUCUGAGAGGAUGAUCAGCCUCACUGGGACUGAGACACGGCCCAGACUCCUACGGGAGGCAGCAGUGGGGAAUAUGGACAAUGGCGCAAGCCUGAUCCAGCCAUGCCGCGUGGAUGAUGAAGGCCCUAGGGUUGUAAAAGUCCUUUCGACGGGGAAGGAUAAUGACGGUACCCGUAGAAAGAAGCCCCGGCUAACUUCGUGCCAGCAGCGC